UGCGUAGGCGGAAAAAUAAGUCAGUGGUGAAAUCUUGCAGCUUAACUGUAAAACUGCCAUUGAUACUGUUUUUCUUGAAUAUAGUUGAGGUAGGCGGAAUGUGUAAUGUAGCGGUGAAAUGCUUAGAUAUUACACAGAACACCGAUUGCGUAGGCAGCUUACUAAACUAUUAUUGACGCUGAGGCACGAAAGCGUGGGGAGCGAACAGGAUUAGAUACCCUGGUAGUCC
rnacentral:rRNA from 1 species